AUACGGAGGGUGCAAGCGUUACUGGGAAUCACUGGGCGUAAAGCGCGCGCAGGCGGGCUGAUAAGUUGGAUGUGAAAGCCUACGGCUCAACCGUAGAACUGCAUCCAAAACUGUCAGUCUAGAGUGUGGGAGAGGAAGAUGGAAUUAGUUGUGUAGGGGUAAAAUCCGUAGAGAUAACUGGGAAUACCAAAAGCGAAGGCAAUCUUCUGGAACACUACUGACGCUGAGGCGCGAAGGCGUGGGGAGCAAACAGGAUUAGAAACCCCAGUAGUCC
rnacentral:rRNA from 1 species